CAACCUGUACGAUCUAAAAAUAACGAAAAUGUAUUUUCCAAUCGAUUUUCUAAACCCUCUCCCGUGUUGGCCAGAUACUUUCGGGACCACCCUCGUAAACUGCAAUUGAUAACAAAAAGACGAACCACAAUUUUGUUUCUUAUUUUUGUAUACUUUCCAUUUUAAUUUUACAGUAUUUGUUGCAAUAUUAAAUUAAAAUAUCAAAAUUAUACGUUAAUUUUAUUGGUGUGUGUAUUAUUAAUAUUUUCAUGGUCUGCGCCUCCUAUAGAAUUUAACUCAACACCAGUAGCAACAUCAUAAAAGAUGACUAAACAUUGUAGCGACGUUGCCAUAUAUAGCGUAUUCCUAAAUCACUGAUAUAUAAUAGUAAAAAUACAAAAGUACAAACAUAUAUUUCCCUAUACACUUAUUACAUAAUAUAUUAUUAAAUUUUAUGUUAUCACUGUAUUAUAUUUUAAAAUGUAUUAAGAAAAAGAAUAAAAACUUGUCGAUCGUAUUUAUUUAUCCGUAGCACUGGCAACGCUGUAUUGUUCUUUAAACUAGACUUGUCCAUGCAUCUUUUUCUCGCGAAUGAGAUAAAAAGAAACAAUAUAUUUUGUAUACUGACAUCGAAAGAUUUCAAGAUUAUUGUUUAUAGAACAAGUUUAAAAUUAUAUGUAGUUUUAUCAAUAAUUUACUUUUUAUUAUUUCAAAAGUAUGAAACUAAAAAAUGGAUUAAUAUUUUUGAAAAUUAAUAUAGGCGAGAGAUAUUGUCAUAAUAUAAUCAGCGAAAAUGUGUUUUUCAAUCGAUUAACCCCACUCUUUAUUGUAUAGAUCAACAAAAUGAAUUCUAGACUAUAAUUGCUACCAAAUAAAUUUUUUCAUGGUCCAACAUUUUUUUGAUCUUCAACAAUGAUUUUCAGUCUAAUUUUUUGAGCCCAAAACGUCAAAAUUUUGAAAUUAUUUUGAUUUUGACACUACAUAAAUUUUGAAAUAGACAAAUAAAAACAAAAUAUUUAUGAUUCGAUUUGGCUUCAUUAUUUUUAAAAUAGUUUCCAUUGAGAUCUAUACACUUUUGUAUACGUUUAAAACAAUUUGGCUCGUCAUAGAAAAUCAUCGAACGAAAAUGUUUCCGAUUUGAUUCCAAUUGUUCACGAAAAUGAAUGUCUCGAGUAAACAAUUCAAAUAACACUCGUACUAAGUACGUAUUAAAAAUGUCAAACUUUAUUAUGGCAGUGUCAGAUUUGACAUUUUGCAAGAUUGAUCGACAAAUUAAUUUCGUAUAUAUUUCAAGAAUAACAGCGACCUCUAUUCUUGCAGAACUGUAUUAACUUGAAAUUAUCAUGUCUAUAGCUUCUGAACUUUCCCGUUUAUUAAUAUGACAGAUGACAGAUGACCAUAGAAUAAUGAAUUUAAUCUUUUUAAAACUUAUAACGAAAAAAACGAAAUAGUUCUACUAUUAAUAAUUAAAUAAACUCUGUAUGUGAUGUAAGAGAUUCUCAGUUUUGAAAACCUGAAUAUAUUUCACAGUCAAAGUUGGUUAAUUUAAAAUCAACUUGUAUCGCCUACCGAAUUAGCACAAAUAAAAAAAUUAAACUCUUCUGGCAACUAAAAAAGUUCGUUACAAUCUUCAGAAGCAACAAAAAGAGAAGAUGGAACAAAUUUCCAUCUCAAAUCGAAAAAUUUAAUGCAAAGACGACAAAGGAUAUAAAACGAAAACUAAAACGACCUUAUAAAGUGAAAUGGACGGUGUUUAAAUGAAACUAAGUGUAUAGGGUCUUAAAGGCGAGUUUCGAUAUUCAUGAUAACGUCAGUAGUUUUGUACAGAUUUUAUAGUGCAGUUAUUUUAAGAAGUUUUUAUUGUUGAAGUUUAUAAAUAUAAUAUUUCAAAAAUGUAAUUUGGAAUAAAUAGAUUCACUUAUAUUAGUAAAAGAAUGUAUGAUAAAGAAAUUUCGAUAAAAUCGGAAUAUUUAUAUUGUAGAAACACUUUUAAAACAAAAUGUCUACCAACGCGAUAACCAAUGAAAAUUUGACACUAUUUUUACAAUAACAAUUUUUAGUGAGGAAAAAGUUUAUACAAGUGAUAAGGAUAUUAUACAGGGUAAAAAAAUGUAGAAUGUAGAACAUUCCGAUUUGAUUUAAAAUUUGAAAACUCCAAGGAAAAUAUUUCAAUAUUUAGACAAACAUUUAAGCGGGAAAUUUAAUUUUACGAUUGACACAGCGUUGCCAACUAUUUAAAAAUUUAGUUAUUUUAUAUUUCAAGUGAUACAGUAUAAAGUAAUAAUAUUCUGAUUUGAGAAAACAUUUUUUGCGAUGAUAUAUAUACAGUAUGUCCCGUCUAAAACCUAACAUAGAACAGAUGCGUAUAGGGAAGCUUAAAAUAUGUCGAUUGGGAAAUUUUGGGCCCCAAUUUGAGUACCUUCAAUUCCUCAGUGUUGCAACUUGGUUUAGACGUAAAUCGAUUCUUAUUAUCAUAUCUUUGAUUAUAUGCUUCUGUUUUGUAUCGGUUAUUAAUAAUACAAAUGUAUUUAUGUUGAUAAAUGUUUAUAUAAUUUCGAAAAUUUGUCUGUACUAUAACUGGUGAACGUGACGGAAAAGGACGGGGCUAUAUCUUUGGCUUGGGCUAAGCGUACGCCUUUUCAGUCGCGUGUAUAACGCGCGCUAAAAAUCGUACAUGCGCGGAUCGAAUAUCAGAUACGAGUCGCUUAUAUAAACUACGAGCUGUACCAUUUGGGCACAUUCACCCUUCGAACUUAACUUAAAGUUAGUCGUACUGUGAGUUUUCGGUACGUCGUGAAUAUAUUACGUCGUAAUUUGACAAUCAGCUGAUUUCUGUUUUGGAAAAAUGUGUCUCUGCAACAAGUUAAUCGAGAUGAAUAAAAUUAAAUCGCCUUAUAGACGACAACAACGAGAGCUUCUGAAACCUAAGCUUUCACGAAAAAUAGUUCCUAGCGCUAGAGUCAAUUUGAAUAACUUCUGGGAGAAAUUUGCGGAAAUUUCUGAGCAAAAUACGUCUCUGGUAACUUUUGAUUCCGGUUCAACUGCUGGAAUAAUACGGAGUAUUUCGUAUUCUACUUUUAACGAUAACGAAAUUAAUGAAAAUUUGGUUAACGAACUUUUAGAACUUGGAAAAUUGUAAGAUGUUUAAUUUUAGUAUAGUUUUAAAAGUAGGGUUAGGAUAAAUUUAGUUUGCAUGAGAAGUAAUCAAUGUCUUCCUGUUAGGUUAGAUUAAUAUUAUGGUUUUCUGAGCUAAUGAUCUUUUUUUUUAUAUAUAUAUAUAUAUAUAUUUUGGUUAAGCUGACUUUUUAAAAGUGCAAUUUCAAUACGUGCAAUAUUUAAAUAAAAAAAAUAUAUAUUGUGAUAUUAGUGUAGGUUAAAUCUGUGAUAUAUUUUUUUUAAAAUAGCUUACAACUGCUUGUUUAUUUUUUGUACAUUUUUUUUCGACACCUUUAACUUUUGCUCAAGCUUUAAACGAUGCUUUGAAAUUUUUAAAACUUGGCUUUAAUUAGUUUUAAAUAUUUUUAUCUGUGAUAAAUUCGGAGCUUUAAUUUUUUUUAGUUUAGUUAUGCUUUUUCGCUUCAACUUAAAAUAAUACGAUCGUCGUAUUGUUUUUUGUAAAGCAUAGGCCGAAAAGUGUCAAUUUUGAUGUAUAUAAGACUGAAAAGGGAAAUUUAAAUUUUAGUUUGCACAUAUUCUUUGAUCCUUAGCUUUAUAAAUAAAUAUAAUGCUCUGGCAGGCUAUGUGAUAGGAAUAUGAUAAACUUUUUGUACAUUUUUUCUGUGAUAUCAGCUUAACGAAUGAUUUCUUCCAUUACUGUUUUAUUGAUAACGAAAUUUAGUUGAUAAUUUUUUUCGUAUCUUAAUCUUUAAGUCUUUUUUCGUAGUUUUUCGAUAAUCUCUUCCACAGAUCUUUCAUUAGCUUUAAGAUUUUUCGUCUAGUAUAGUGUUUUGUAAUUAUACAUUAUCCAAAAUAAAAAUUUGUAGUUUCAA